UUUCCUUUUUUUCCCUACCCACCAUGUGCUGUCACCUCAGUAGUGAUGUGACUGGGGAGAGAGCUGCUGGCAUGGAAGUGAGCUGGAUUUGUCUGUGGGAACUGUGAGUAAGCUUGCUUUACCUGCAUCUUUUUGAAGCUGAAGGUUGCCAUCACGAAAGCCAAAGUGGAUUUCUC